rnacentral:miRNA from 1 species
GCAGACUCAUUCCAGCCAAUCAGCAGCAGACCCUCCCUCCCAGACCCUCCCACCUCCUGGACAGCUCACUAAGAAUGCAGCUUCACAAUGAAUGUAAAAUGGAUGCUGUCCAGGAGGUGGGAGGGACUGGGAGGGAGGGUCUGCUGCUGAUUGGCUGGAAUGUGUCUG